GAUGAACGCUGGCGGCGUGCCUAAUACAUGCAAGUCGAGCGAACGGACGAGAAGCUUGCUUCUCUGAUGUUAGCGGCGGACGGGUAAGUAACACGUGGAUAACCUACCUAUAAGACUGGGAUAACUUCGGGAAACCGGAGCUAAUACCGGAUAAUAUUUUGAACCGCAUGGUUCAAAAGUGAAAGACGGUCUUGCUGUCACGUAUAGAUGGAUCCGCGCUGCAUUAGCUAGUUGGUAAGGUAACGGCUUACCAAGGCAACGAUGCAUAGCCGACCUGAGAGGGUGAUCGGCCACACUGGAACUGAGACACGGUCCAGACUCCUACGGGAGGCAGCAGUAGGGAAUCUUCCGCAAUGGGCGAAAGCCUGACGGAGCAACGCCGCGUGAGUGAUGAAGGUCUUCGGAUCGUAAAACUCUGUUAUUAGGGAAGAACAUAUGUGUAAGUAACUGUGCACAUCUUGACGGUACCUAAUCAGAAAGCCACGGCUAACUACGUG
rnacentral:rRNA from 1 species